UACGUAGGGGGCAAGCGUUAUCCGGAUUUACUGGGUGUAAAGGGGGCGCAGACGGCGAUGCAAGCCAGGAGUGAAAGCCCGGGGCCCAACCCCGGGACUGCUCUUGGAACUGCGUGGCUGGAGUGCAGGAGGGGCAGGCGGAAUUCCUGGUGUAGCGGUGAAAUGCGUAGAUAUCAGGAGGAACACCGGUGGCGAAGGCGGCCUGCUGGCCUGCAACUGACGUUGAGGCCCGAAAGCGUGGGGAGCAAACAGG
rnacentral:rRNA from 1 species